CCUACGGGAGGCAGCAGUGGGGAAUAUUGCACAAUGGGGGAAACCCUGAUGCAGCGACGCCGCGUGAGCGAUGAAGUAUCUCGGUAUGUAAAGCACUAUCAGCAGGGAAGAAAAUGACGGUACCUGACUAAGAAGCCGCGGCUAACUACGUGCCAGCAGCCGCGGUAAUACGUAGGGGGCGAGCGUUAUCCGGAUUUACUGGGGGUAAAGGGAGCGUAGACGGCUGUGCAAGCCAGAUGUGAAAGCCCGGGGCUCAACCCCGGGACUGCAUUUGGAACUGUGUGGCUGGAGUGUCGGAGAGGCAGGCGGAAUUCCUAGUGUAGCGGUGAAAUGCGUAGAUAUUAGGAGGAACACCAGUGGCGAAGGCGGCCUGCUGGACGAUGACUGACGUUGAGGCUCGAAAGCGUGGGGAGCAAACAGGAUUAGAUACCCGAGUAGUC
rnacentral:rRNA from 1 species